AUUGAACGCUGGCGGAAUGCUUUACACAUGCAAGUCGAACGGUAGAGGGGGCAACCCCUCGAGAGUGGCGAACGGGUGAGUAAUAUAUCGGAACGUGCCCAGUCGUGGGGGAUAACGUAGCGAAAGUUACGCUAAUACCGCAUACGAUCUAAGGAUGAAAGCGGGGGAUCGCAAGACCUCGCGCGAUUGGAGCGGCCGAUAUCAGAUUAGGUAGUUGGUGGGGUAAAGGCUCACCAAGCCAACGAUCUGUAGCUGGUCUGAGAGGACGACCAGCCACACUGGAACUGAGACACGGUCCAGGCUCCUACGGGAGGCAGCAGUGGGGAAUUUUGGACAAUGGACGCAAGUCUGAUCCAGCCAUUCCGCGUGCAGGAUGAGGGCCCUCGGGUUGUAAACUGCUUUUGUACGGAACGAAAAGGUCUCUCUUAAUACGGGGGGCUCAUGACGGUACCGUAAGAAUAAGCACCGGCUAACUACGUGCCAGCAGCCGCCGUAA
rnacentral:rRNA from 1 species